UACGUAGGGUGCAAGCGUUAAUCGGAAUUACUGGGCGUAAAGCGUGCGCAGGCGGCUAUGCAAGACAGAUGUGAAAUCCCCGGGCUCAACCUGGGAACUGCAUUUGUGACUGCAUGGCUAGAGUACGGUAGAGGGGGAUGGAAUUCCGCGUGUAGCAGUGAAAUGCGUAGAUAUCUGGAAGAACACCAAUGGCGAAGGCAAUGUUCUGGCUCGUUUCUGACGCUCAGGUGCGAAAGCCAGGGGAGCGAACGGG
rnacentral:rRNA from 1 species